rnacentral:rRNA from 1 species
GAUAUCCUACGGGACGCAGCAGUGGGGAAUAUUGGGCAAUGGGCGCAAGCCUGACCCAGCGACGCCGCGUGAGGGAAGACGGUCUUCGGAUUGUAAACCUCUUUCAGCAGGGAAGACAAAAGGACGGUACCUGCAGAAGAAGCCACGGCUAACUACGUGCCAGCAGCCGCGGUAAUACGUAGGUGGCGAGCGUUAUCCGGAAUGAUUGGGCGUAAAGGGUGCGCAGGCGGUCCUGCAAGUCUGGAGUGAAACGCAUGAGCUCAACUCAUGCAUGGCUUUGGAAACUGGAGGACUGGAGAGCAGGG